GCGGCGCUGAGGUACCGGCGCUGAGGUACCGGCGCUGAGGUACCGGCGCUGAGGUACCGGCGCUGAGGUACCGGCGCUGAGGUACCGGCGCUGAGCGGGCCGGUUUGGCAGGAUGAGCGCUGUGAGUGAAGAAGCUAAGCCAGAAGAUGUCAAGCCAGAAUCUGAAAAAAAAAAUAUUGUGAAGUUUGUAAAGUGCCAUGUAUGAGUUCUAUAAGUCUUCAGUCACACUAUUGUGGUGCAAAGCAUAGAAAGAAAGAGAAAGUUCUGAGACCCGAGACUGUCUGUUUAUCUCUUGAACCUCUCGGCCUUUUUGCACCAAGUUGAUCCAAGGGCUCCUGAAAAUACACAUCUGCACAGAAGAGUGAUGGUGUCAGUCCUCCACUGAGGGAAUUGCUGCAGGCUGCGCUUACCUCUUGCUGGACCCUGAAGAUUCAACACGAGAAAGAUUUAGAAAAGCGCUGGUCAGAGUCCAUUUAGUAAGAGACUGGGCUUCGUUAGCUGCUCUCAUGGUUUGGUGCUGACAAGAGAAUAUCUGUACAAGGCAUAUCAUUCAAGUAUGUAAACAAUUAUUAGACAUUUUACCUCAGUAGAUGUAAGCACUGCAUGCAGAUCUUCUUUCUUUAGAAAUACUGGUAGUGAAGCUCCUUAACAGAAUUUCUGCAAGAGUUCUGAAAGCAUGAAAGUCUUCUCAAAAUCCAGUGGGUCUUAGCAGUCUAAAAUUAUAUUUGUACCUCAGGAACAACAGCAGAUUUGUUCAGCUGUGGGCUGGUGUUUUUAAUGGAAAACAAUUUGUAGAGAUUUCUUUGUAUCCCUCAUCAAAAACAGUAAUAAGAAAUAAUACUCAUUAAUUGAAGAGGUUCUUGCUUCAAGGCCAUAAAAUCAUGCUUUGGAGGAGUAAUGUAAAGGAUGCGUGGGACAGAAAGUGAGACUUGAAUAAGAGGACAGCAAGACUAAAAAGACAGGUGGAAUACAGAAGCCUGUAGAAAGACCUAUGCCCUAUACUGCUCAAUGUACUACUACAAGCUCAACAUUCUCUGGAGAAUACAGGUUAAGAAUGUCUGCUUGUUAUAAAUAUUGCAUCUCUGGAAAUGUUAUAUGUUAGAAUCUUUCAAUUGUGAUGUAUCUUGCAGAACAAGAGGAGUUAAGUUAAAAUCUCUGAUUAUUAAAGUGAAGAAUCUAGACAUGAAACUUUGAUAAACAAGUUAUCUCUAGCUUCUGAAGAUGUCCCAGCAUCACUGGGACAGAAGUGUUGCAGGAUGUGCUUUAAUCCAGUGUCUUGGUAAUAAUUUUGAAGCAAUCAACCUCUGAUUUCUAAUAUGAAAUGAUCAUUCAUACUAUUGAUGUCUCCGUUAAUCUGUUGCAUUCACGCUGAAUUCUUCUUACUCACUGAAGAUCUGAGCGUGGGAGGCCGGUUGCCAAGCCACUGUUAGGGUUUGAAGAGGCUGAAAUUUGACCUGAUUAAGUUUGUAUAUGUUUUAGUUGUGAGGUUUUCUUUUUCUACAGGUAGAAAACCUUUCCACCGGAAUAGCUUUUCAAAGAUGGCAAUUCAGAUUUAAUUUUGCAGAAUUAUAUAUUUCUUUGAUAUAUAUGCAGAACUUCAGCUCUCCCAUGGACAUACUACCAAUUACACAAAUAAUUUUCCUCAAGAGCCAGCAAAUCUAGGAAGUUCAUUGUAAUCUGUCACUGAGAUAC